rnacentral:rRNA from 1 species
UGACGAAUAUUGGUCAAUGGGAGGAAUCCUGAACCAGCCAUGCCGCGUGCAGGACGACGGCUCUACGAGUUGUAAACUGCUUUUGUACCGGGGUAAAAUGCUCUACGAGUAGGGUUUUGAAAGUACGGUACGAAUAAGGAUCGGCUAACGCCGUGCCAGCAGCCGCGGUAAUACGGAGGAUCCGAGCGUUAUCCGGAUUCAUUGGGUUUAAAGGGUGCGUAGGUUGUUUUAUAAGUUAGCGGUGAAAUACCGAUGCUCAACAUCGGGGCUGCCGCUAAUACUGUAGGACUAGAGAUCGGAUGCAGCAGGCGGAAUGUGUAGUGUAGCGGUGAAAUGCAUAGAUAUUACACAGAACACCGAUUGCGAAGGCAGCUUGCUAGGCCGGAUCUGACACUGAUGCACGAAAGCGUGGGGAUCGAACAGGAUUAGAUACCC